rnacentral:misc_RNA from 1 species
GAUGAAGAACGCAGCGAAAUGCGAUAAGUAAUGUGAAUUGCAGAAUUCAGUGAAUCAUCGAAUCUUUGAACGCACCUUGCGCCCUUUGGCCAUUCCGAAGGGCAUGCCUGUUUGAGUAUCAUGAACACCUCAACUCUUCAUGGUUUUCCGUGAUGAGCUUGGACUUUGGGGGUCUUGCUGGCCUAUGGUCAGCUCCUCUAAAAUAAAUCAGCUUGCCAGUGUUUGGUGGGUAUCACAGGUGUGAUAACUAUCUACGCUUGUGGUUUUCCAUCAGGUAACCUUCAGCAGUGGAGGUUCGCUGGAGCUCACAGAUGUGUCUCUCCUCAGUGAGGACAGCUCUUUGAAUGUUUGAUCUCAAAUCAGGUAGGACUACCCGCUGAACUUAAGCAUAUCAAUAAGCGGAGGA